UCAAUGGUAAAUCUUAAAGUUUUACAAAGAAUAAUAAAUAGAAAUUAUUAAAUGUAGGUGGCUCAUCAUGCAGUGCAUAUGAGAAUGGCAUCCUUUCAAAGGUUAAGACUGCUCCCCUGAUUCCUACAGCAAAAAAAC